rnacentral:lncRNA from 1 species
UUGAACUUUGUGUUUAUAGCCCAUAGACAUAUAUAGUUUUUUCGUAUCUUUGAUACUAAACAAGUACUAUACAGAAUCUUCGAUGAAAAUUAACCACUUGAUCAUCGAUGAAGGAUUUUAUUACAAAUGGAAAAAAUUGAAGACCACAUCCUAAUUAGGCUAUACUAAGCAGUACAUAUAUGCAUGCCCCCGCAUCAUGUGGUUUGCUAACUUCACUAGCUCAGGGGAGAGGUGGCGGUGGGGAUGGAGGUAGCGGUAGAUUUCUUGGUGCCUGUCGAGUCCCUCCCCUUGGUGACGGUGGUGGACGUGUCCGCUUGGCCUUGUUUGACACCACUUCAAAUCUACUCACGGAAAGGUCGGAAAACCCUUCAGCAGCCUUAACCAUGUAACUAGGGUACUUGGAUAGUAGUAAUCCAAAAACCAACAGGACAGUUGUCGAACUUGGAGCGGCAUCCAUUUUUGUCAUAGUACAUUCACGGCUUCGAUCACCACAAUAUGAUUAUAUGAGUUUGGUACAGAAUUUAUAGCCAAACGUUCUCUCAUCUUCUACGUAAACUUCCACAACACCUACCACACAAUCUAACUACACCACAUUUUUUCUCGAUUGAAAUCCACUUGUAUCAGAAGCAACAAGAUAUAGGUCCAAAGUCAAGAGUCAAGACAGAAAACAAAGUCUACGUCCUCUAGUCCUUUACAAAUAAUUUUAAGCAAAAUAAUAUAGUUUAUGCAUGAACGCUGAUUAAUUGACCAGAUACGAAGAUAAUAUCAUGGUUCUGGUGAUGACUGAACCGGAGAAGGGGGCAGUGGAGGUGGUGGCUAUAUUGGUCGUGGCGGUGGUGAUUUGAGAUGAACUGGAGCACUGGGUUUCGGUGGUGGUGGUGGUGAUCUACUGCUAACCCUAUAAGACACCACUUUUAGCUUAUGGAUGGAAUGGCUGGAGAAACCUUCAGAUGCCUUGACAAUGUAACAAGAGUGCGACAGUAGUAGUCCACAAAUCAGCAAGAAACUUAUCAAACUUGAAUUGGCUUGCUAUUUUUGUGGAUUAGAACCUUAAUAACAAUCUUAGUUUUGGAGGGGGAGCUAGCUAGGGGGAGGAACGAAUUGAUCGAUCUAAUAAUCUUAGUCUGUUUUUAUAACCAAUAUUAUUGAAGAUCGAUCAUCAUGGAAUCGGUGAGAGAGGGAUGAAGACUUUGACAAUGUCUAUAUUUUGCACCAAGUACCAUCUUCUUUGUAGAUUUUUGAUCAACUAAUUAAAGAAAUUGUUGCUAAUGCUUCUUAUUGUGUAUAGAAUCAAACGUUCUUUGUCUAUUGGUAUUCAUUCAAUGUAAACCGAAAGAGUCGAAAGAGGUGUGGAUUGUAAAGACAUAAAUCAUUCAAUCUGAACACGAAAGACCACAAUGGUUGUCGAUUAACAACCCAGAUAGAUUAAUUACUCUCUUCUGAAUCAUAUCAAAGAAAAUUUCACAUAUAUUCAUCAAAUUUAAUAGUAUAUAUCUGAAAUCUUCAGACUUCAGCAUAAAAUUGAUAAUUUCUCGUUGAACUCAUGAACUGUAUAAGAAACUUAAAUGAGAAGUACAAUAUCCGAUCAAGCAUAUAGAGAUGCAAUGUGGGAUUUAUUUAAUUAAACCAUACAUAACACAUCCUGAUCAAUCGAACCAGAGAUGAGAUAUGAUACUGCAUAUAUCUAAUGUCGUAUAAAAACAUAAUCAUGUGGUGGCUACGCUGGUGGUGGCGUCUGUGGUGGUGGUGGAGAGGGGUGAACUGUAGGAUUGGGUUUCGGAGGCGGCGGUGGAGACCUGCGGCUGACCCUGUGGGAUUCCACUCUUAAAUCAAUGGAUGCAAGUGUUCGACACUGUGCCACUCAAUCCAGCUAUAUGGACAAGCAAGUCGAUUUGAUUGCAUUAUAAUGUCUAGGGAAGGUGCAGCGCGCAUCAAUAAAGAUAUCGAUGAUGAUAAUAUAUGCCUCCGAUCCAUCGGCUUCAGGACCUUCACAGAUUCAUAUAUUGAUAGAUAAAAAUCCAUAGUUCAAGGCUAGCUGCAUUAAACGUAUAUAAAAAGGUUUCACAGAUUGACUGUGAAAAAGGUAUAGGAAUAAUCAUAAGAUUCAGAACGAGCUAAAAUGAUACAUAUCGUAGUAAAAAGUGAAAUAUCUAUAAUACAAGGAAUUCGAUCGAAACACGUCUUGAACUCUUGAUUCAAUAUAUGACCAAGUAGCAAAUAAGGGCGCAUGAUGUGGAUACACCAUAUAUAACCAGAUACUAUAUAUAAACGUACAUCGAUCCUUUUGUUCAUUCACGUUAUGGAGGUGGUGGGAUUGACAUAGAUGUUAGCGGUGGUGUUCAUGGAGACGAUGGAAAUGGCGGCGGUUGUGUUAAAGAUAAUAGAGACGGCAAUUGAGGCAGCCAGCGGUGGAGACAGCAAUGGUGGUGGUGGUGGUGGUGACGGCAAUGCUGGUAGUGGUGGUGGUGGAGACACGAACGGUGGCGGUGGUCGAAGUGAAUAAUGGAGUGGAAAUGUCCGUGGAUGGACAGAUGGAGGUGGCGGGGGAGAUCUUGCCCUAAGAGGUAGCCUGUUUGGUAUUAACUAAUUAAAGCAGAGAAGCAGUCUCAAUGGCUUGUGCCCUAAAACUCGAUCCUGGUAAUCCCAGAAUCAUCACCCUUAAGUUGAGGACUAGUUUAGAACUUUUUGGUUUAUGAUUAAAAAGACAUAUUUUUCGAUCACAUGGGCAUCUCAUCUGUUCAGUUUCUAGGUCUAUAUGUGUAGAUCAGCCUUACAAAUUUUUAGCCAAAUAGGUGAUCAUUAAGGUAACAAACUAGAUCAAAUUAAUGAACGAACCAAAUCUGUCAAACAUGAACUGUUCACGUUCAUAAUUGAUAAAUCACACGUAUAAAUGUCUUAACGAUUUUCAAUAUGGCUGAAAAUUUACAGAAAUGAUCUACUCAUAAAUACCUAUAAACUAAACGGUCAAGAUGUGGAUAUAAAAUCGAAAAAUGGGAUAAGACGAAAAGUCCUCAACUUAAGAGUCCUCGUUAGAAGAGCUUCUCUGUACAAAAUCAUUGAAACAAAAAAAGAAAAGGAUUGAAAAUUAACCACUUGAUCAUUGAUGAAGGAUUUUAUUAACCACCAAAUUUUUUCCAAAUGGAAAAAAUUGAAGACCACACCCCAAUUAGGGUAUACUAAGCAGUACACAUGCAUGCAUAUAUGACAGCAUAUAUGCAUGCCUCUGCAUCAUGUGGUUUGCUAACUUCAUUAGCUCAGGGGAGAGGUGGCGGUGGGGAUGGAGGUAGCGGUUGCUUUCUCGGCAUAUGUCGCGGUAUCUGUCGAGUCCCUCGCCUUGGUGGUGGUGGUGGAGGUAUCCGACUGGCCUUGUUUGAUACCACUUCAAAUUUACUCACGGAAAGGUCGGAAAACCCUUCAGCAGCCUUAACCAUGUAACUAGGGUACUUGGAUAGUAGUAAUCCAAAAACCAACAAGACAGUUAUCGAACUUGGAGCGGCAUCCAUUUUUGUCAUAAUACCUUCACGGCUUCGAUCACCACAAUAUGAUUAUAUGAGUUUGGCACAGAAUUUAUAGCCAAACGUUCUCUCAUCUUCUACGUAAAAUUCCACAACACCUACCACACAAUCUAACUACACUACAUUUUUUCUCGAUUGAGAUCCACUUGUAUCAGAAGCAACAAGAUAUAGCCGUAUAGGUCCAAAGUCAAGAGUCAAGACAGAAGACAAAGUCUACGUCCUCUUGUCCUUAACAAAUAAUUUUAAGCAAAAUAAUAUAGUCUAUGCAUGAACGAUGAUUAAUUGACCAGAUACGAAGAUAAUAUCAUGGUUCUGGUGAUGACUGAACCGGAGAAGGGGGCAGUGGAGGUGGUGGCCCUAGUGGUCGUGGCGGUGGUGAUUUGAGAUGAACUGGAGCACUGGGUUUCGGUGGUGGGGGUGGUGAUCUACUGGCAACCCUAUAAGACACCACUUUUAGCUUAUGGAUGGAAUGGCUGGAGAUACCUUCAGAUGCCUUGACAAUGUAACAAAGAGUGCGACAGUAGCAGUCCACAAAUCAACAAGAAACUUAAUUAUCAAACUCGAAUUGGCUUGCAUUUUUGUGGAUUAGAACCUUAAUAACAAUCUUAGUUUUGGAGGGGGAGCUAGCUAGGGGGAGGAACGAAUUGAUCGAUCUGAUAAUCUUAGUCUGUUUUUAUAACCAAUAUUAUUGAAGAUCGAUCAUCAUGGAAUCGGUGAGAGAGGGAUGAAGACUUUGACAAUGUCUAUCUUUUGCACCAAGUACCAUCUUCUUUGUAGAUUUUUGAUCAACUAAAGAAAUUGUUGCUAAUGCUUCUUAUUGUGUAUAGAAUCAAACGUUCUUUGUCUAUUGGUAUUCAUUCAAUGUAAACCGAAAGAGACGAAAGAGGUGUGGAUUGUAAAGACAUAAAUCAUUCAAUCUGAACACGAAAGAGCACAAUGGUUGUCGAUUAAUAACCUAGACAGAUUAAUUAUUCUCUUCUGAAUCAUAUCAAAGAAAAUUUCACAUAUAUUCAUCAAAUUUAAUAGUAUAUAUCUGAAAUCUUCAGACUUCAGCAUAAAAUUGAUAAUUUCUCGUUGAAUUCAUGAACUGUCUAAGAAGCUUAAAUGAGAAGUACAUCCGAUCAAGCAUAUCGAGAUGCAUUAUGGGGAUUUAUUUGGACCGUACAUAAGACAUCCUGAUCGAUCGAACCAGAGAUGAGAUAUGAUACUACAUAUAUCUAAUGUCGUAUAAAAACAUAAUCAUGUGGUGGCUACGCCGGUGGUGGCGUCUGUGGUGGUGGUGGAGAGGGGUGAACUGUAGGAUUGGGUUUCGGAGGCGGCGGUGGAGACCUGCGGCUGACCCUGUGGGAUUCCACUCUUAAUUUACUCAUGAAAUGGCCGGAAAAACCUUCAGACGCCGCUUCAACCUUGUUACUCGAGGACUGCGAUAGUAGUAGUAAUCCACAAAUCAACAAGAAGGAUAGCAAAGCUGGGUAACCCUUCAUCGUUCUGGUACGUAAAUAAGAUUCAGUAUGAGGAGCGAUGAUGAUCUUAUUGCUGUUCUUAUAGCCAAUAUAUAUUCGUUUGUCUUCUAUAUUUAACUUGACAAGUUGACCACUGAUUAAAAAUUUCUUAAUCGAAGUGUUCUACAGCUUUAUUGUAAUUAAUUAUAAAAGAUAUCAUAUUUGUUUGGUGCUAUGCAUAAAGUCCGGCUUUAAUUUGGAUCAACAACUUUCCUUUGGUUUAUAUAAUUCAGAGCAUCUCAUCGACAACUUGAUCAUGAUCAUUAAAUCGAAGGAUGAAUCAUAGGAUGAUCAAAUCCUUGUUUGGUUUAGUUUACAGAAUUAGAGCUUUUGGUUAAUUCCUCCUUUAUUUCCUUACAUUUAAUGAUUUAAAUGAUUUGAUAAAAAUUUAAUAACUUACUGAAAUAAAAGGUUCAUGGAAUAUUAGAGCUUUCAAUCUGUUCGCGACACAUCUAUAGGGAAGCAAAUGGUGUUGCAGAUAGAUUAGCACACCUUGCUAGUUUAGGAGUUCUUGAGGAUGAGUGGUUAGAGGAUCGGAGACUCCUGCUAUUAUUCAGGACGUUCUCUACGAAGAUUUUUGCAAUUUACAUAUUGUAGCUCGGGGUUCAGAUGUUAUGUCCCCCCGGAUGCAGAAUUUUAAUAUUAAUGUAAUAAAUAAAAAUGGGCGUGGGGCUGAGCCUCCCAGCUAGGCUGGGUUCCAAACCCUUUUAAAAAAAAAGAAGAAAAAAAAUAGGUUCAUGGAAUAUAUAAUUCUAUCUUUUUCUAUAGAAAAUAGAAAACGAAUUACGUACUAAUUCCCUUUUCUAAACCAAACAAGGAGAUAACCUCGACCGGCCUAAUGACCAACUUGUCUGCGUCCAUAUAUUUAUACUACAACUUUCUAUUGCAUGUAUAUGGUUAAAAGUCAAGAGAAAGACAAACUUUGUGCCAUUUAGUCUAAUUCGAUCUAUUCCUAGCUAUCACUAUUUUUAAUUUGGGUCGUCGAAGUGUCUGCAUGCACCCCAUGAACCUUCUUCGACGUUUUUCAUAUUACUGAAAUUAAACUACGAAGGAAAAAUCACUCAACAACUCCUUAAAGCUUUAAACAAAUGAAACAUAGACUUUCUUACACCUUCUAGUCAGGUCAGAUUAAUUGUCAACAUUUUUUUUUUCAUGUAAAUUGACAUACUAAUUCUCUUUUAUAGAUACAUCAAAACGAACACUCCAGCUGGACCACAAUUAAAAAUCCAGAUGAUCAUGAGCAGAAGAUCUAUGAAUCUAUAUAUGAUGUAUAAGUACGUCGCCGAUUAAUUAAGAACAUGCAUACGAAUAUGGCUGUAUGCGGCGGCCGAUGCGGUUGCUGUGGUGGACUGGUGGUGGAUAUGGUGGACACCUCUCACCGAUAAUGAACUGAAUAAUUAAGCCUAGGAUAUAUACUAGCUACGUUUGACAGGACUGUAUACAGUUAGCAAACUGGAUGCUAAUACAGAUCAGGCGUUUGAACUUAUUUGUUUUUAUAGCCCACAGUCGACAUAUAUAGUUCUUUCUUAUCUUCGAUACUAAUUAAACAAGUACUAUACAUAAUCUUUGAACAAACGAACAAAAAGGAUUGAAAAUUAACCACUUGAUCAUUGAUGAAGGAUUUUAUUACCACCAAAUUUUUCCAAAUGGAAAAAUUUGAAGAACACCCUAAUUAGGAGUAUACUAAUUAAGCAGUACACAUAUGCAUAUAUGGCAGCAUAUAUGCAUGCCUGCAUCAUGUGGUUUGCUAACUUCACUAGCUCAGGGGAGAGGUGGCGGUGGGGAUGGAGGUAUUGGUGGCCGUGGCGGUAGCUUAGGUACGUAUACAGGCCCUCGCCUUGGUGACGGUGGUGGAGGUAUCCGCUUGGCCUUGUUUGACACCACUUCAAAUCUACUUACAGAAAGGGCGGAAAACCCUACAGCAGCCUUAACCAUGUAACUAGGGUACUUGGAUAGUAGUAAUCCAAAAACCAACAAGACAAUAAUCGAACUUGGAGCGGUAUCCAUUUUUGUCAUAGUACCUUCACGGCUUCGAUCACCACAAUAUGAUUAUAUGAG